rnacentral:rRNA from 1 species
AUUGAACGCUGGCGGCAGGCCUAACACAUGCAAGUCGAACGGUAACAGGAAGAAGCUUGCUUCUUUGCUGACGAGUGGCGGACGGGUGAGUAAUGUCUGGGAAACUGCCUGAUGGAGGGGGAUAACUACUGGAAACGGUAGCUAAUACCGCAUAACGUCGCAAGACCAAAGAGGGGGACCUUCGGGCCUCUUGCCAUCGGAUGUGCCCAGAUGGGAUUAGCUAGUAGGUGGGGUAACGGCUCACCUAGGCGACGAUCCCUAGCUGGUCUGAGAGGAUGACCAGCCACACUGGAACUGAGACACGGUCCAGACUCCUACGGGAGGCAGCAGUGGGGAAUAUUACACAAUGGGCGCAAGCCUGAUGCAGCCAUGCCGCGUGUAUGAAGAAGGCCUUCGGGUUGUAAAGUACUUUCAGCGGGGAGGAAGGGAGUAAAGUUAAUACCUGUGCUCAUUGACGUUACCCGCAGAAGAAGCACCGGCUAACUCCGUG